CCCGAAUGGUCCUGGACAGAUUCAGUCUCGGAGUCUCUCGAACGUCAGGAGAACUUCUGCUCCGAUGAACACGGUUCGGGUAUGACCUUGCAGACAAUCUCGGUGGGGCGGAGAGGCGAGGAGGGGGUCCCAGGUCGCCAGGCUCCGAGCAAGGUAAGGCCUUUUGCUUUGGGUGGCCAGAGUGGAAAACCAGGACCUCCAACCUCCGACAGCUGGAGCUGGAUGCCCGUCUCAAGCUACACGUUUGUAACACUGCAGCCAUUAUUCAAGUCCCACCAACGCACCAACACGCCUGCCCUCCGCCCUCCAUUGAGAGCCAGCUGCUUGCCAAGCGCUGUCCUAGUGAAACAGAAUAUCCUGAAGACCCUCAGUGCAGAGGAAAGAGCACCGGUCACUGAGCUGGAGGCACCUGCCUCCCUCGGAUUGAAGUCCUCUCCUUUUGAGUUUCGUCAUCUGCCUCAGCCCGAUGUAGGAAAUGUUAUUCUGCUCAGAGAGAAGAAGCAGGAGGGCGCAGGGCAGACUGCAGGUGACCCGGAUCAGCCCAGGACGAGGGCGCGGGGAUGGGUCCCACGAGGGCGCGGGGAUGGGUCCCAGGAGAGGCUGAUUAAAGCAAAGGGUCCCUCCCCCGGGAGGUCUCCCUUGCCAUCAAAGGAGGAUUGCUCCCAGCCCUGUGGUCCUAGCAGGUGAACGGGAACAUGGGCAGCUCAAUUGGGCUUCAGUUUCCGCAGCUCACAGCAGGGCAGGGCAGAAACUGACGAGUAGCCCGGAGGUGAAGACCUUAAGAGAAUAGGAAAUCUUUUUCCCCCAGGCAGAGACAGCAAAUCAGUAGCAAAGCGACACAGGAAGGAGAGGACCCGGACACCUUCGAAAGGUGGCGUGGGAGAGGAAGGGAAGCCCAGGUGACACCCAGAGAAAGGGCAGGCACUGGGGCUAUUUACCGUCCUUAAGCCUACAUCAAACACCCAACAGGAUAAUCGCUUUCUUGGAAUUUGCUGUCCUAAUAGCGGAGUGUGGGGGAAGGGAGGACCCUGUGGCCCCGGCUGUCUCCGAUUUGGCUGUCCACUACAGUCACCCAGGCAGCUCUUUAGCAGCCCAGGACCGGAAGUAUAUUUCGAACCCAUUACAUCCGGACCCCUGGAUAGGAGACCCGGCCUCCGCAUUUGCGAAUCUCCCCAGCUGACCCCACAGUGCACCCAAGUUCAAGAACAGGGUCUUCAAGGAGACUUUGCUGCUCCACUUCUGCAGCGCACGAAGCACCUGGGGAUCUGCUGAAGACGCAGCUCGGACUGGUGCUGCUGGCCUGGCGCGAUGCGCAGGUGGUGCUGAGGCCUUGGUCUGUGGCCCGGCUCUUCGCGGAGCAGGCCUGCCGGUGUGUCUCCAACACCACAGGGAACGGGGCCAUUGGGCAGCCAGAGAGUGGAGGGGCAGCCGUUCGGGACACUCGGCUCCCUGCUCCCAACCUUGCCCAAAGGGCUCCCUCCGCAGCUGAGCCACACUGCAAGAGCCUGACCACGGCUGACCAAUCCUCACCAGGACCACUCUGUGCAAAACGCUGAAGAAGCAGGCACUCUGGGGUGGGGCUUGGACUGGGAUGUCCCCCAGGUGAGGCCGUUCUGUGGGAGUGGCCUCGCCCUGAAUCCCCAGGGUUCCAGCACUGGCCCCAGUUGAUUUGGGGGGGGCGGGGCACAGACGCUAUCCACCUGGACGCUUUUCCUGGAGGAUGGGAUGUGAGAUGCAGAAUCCAGCUUUGGCUGCCCCUGUUACUGCAGGAAACAGUAGAGACUGUUAUUCCUGGUCUCCUGCAGAAAACGGGCAGGGCGGCACCACAGUGCCUGGGACCCAAGAGGUCUCCAGGUAGUGCUGGUGUAGGCAGACAGCGAGGUACCCGGCGGGCACAGGUGGGGCACAGACCUCCCUGGAGCCCCAAGGACUUCGCAUAUCUGAACAACCACCGGGUUGGAAAGGAGCCUCAUUGUCAGCCAUGUUGUCCCUGCCUUGUGAAAUCACCGUAACAGAUCCAAACGGGCUUUGUUAGAAGAGACGUGGAAACCCCACCUCACUCCCAGAACUCGCCUCCCUAGCUCAUGAAUAUUCCACCCCUCAUUAUAAGGUAAAAGAAAACCUCCUCUGACCCUCCAGGCAGGCCCCCCCCCCCCCACGCACACAUCUGCACACUGCCCUGUCUCGUGAGUGUUCUUUCUCUCUUUUUAAAAGAUUUUAUUUAUUUGAGAGAGUUACAGAGAGGGAGAGGGAGAGACAGAGAGAAAGGUCUUCCAUCCACUGGUUCCCUCCCCAAAUGGUCACAAUAGCCAGGGCUGUGCUGAUCCGAAGCCAGGAGCCACGUGCUUCUUCCUGGUCUCCCAUGUGGGUGCAGGGGCCCAAGGACUUGGGCCAUCCUCCACUGCCUUCCCAGGCAGAGAGCUGGAUCAGAAGAGGAGCAGCCGGGACUCGAACCGGCGCCCGCAUGGGACACUGGCGCUUCAGGCCAGGGCUUUAACCUGCUGCGCCACAGCGUUGGCCCCCACCUUUGUGUCUCGAAGAGGGCCAGCUUCCCAGCUAGGGGCUUCACACGACUGCCCUGCAACCUGGAAGGUCCCACGUGCCCAGCCAGCAGCCAGCACGCCCUCCACCUUCAACCCUCCUCUUUUAAAAUCCAUGCAAACUGAGAAGGUAUUUUGCAAGUUUCAAGAAGAAGGGCUUCUGGGGUCUCAGUCGGUGCUAUUUGUAGAGGAACCAUCGCCUUGAGCUUCUGCAGCUGUGCCUUCUAAAUCCGGCCAUCUGUUGACGUUAGGGGUAAAAUUGCUUGUCUGGCCCGUUUUCUCAACUAUCAAAUGGAACUCAGCGUACGAUCAAACGAUCAAACGGCUUUGGAGAGGAACUAAUAAAAGGUUAUGAAUCACCA
ensembl:lncRNA